rnacentral:ncRNA from 2 species
UUCUUAUCAAGAGUGGCGGAGGGACUGGCCCUGUGAAGCCCGGCAACCUGCAGUAAUGCAAGGUGCCAAAUCCAGCGGUUUUCGGCCGGAAGAUGAGAU